UGGGGAAUAUUGCACAAUGGGCGCAAGCCUGAUGCAGCCAUGCCGCGUGUGUGAAGAAGGCCUUCGGGUUGUAAAGCACUUUCAGCGGGGAGGAAGGCGAUAAGGUUAAUAACCUUGUCGAUUGACGUUACCCGCAGAAGAAGCACCGGCUAACUCCGUGCCAGCAGCCGCGGUAAUACGGAGGGUGCAAGCGUUAAUCGGAAUUACUGGGCGUAAAGCGCACGCAGGCGGUCUGUCAAGUCGGAUGUGAAAUCCCCGGGCUCAACCUGGGAACUGCAUUCGAAACUGGCAGGCUAGAGUCUUGUAGAGGGGGGUAGAAUUCCAGGUGUAGCGGUGAAAUGCGUAGAGAUCUGGAGGAAUACCGGUGGCGAAGGCGGCCCCCUGGACAAAGACUGACGCUCAGGUGCGAAAGCGGGGGGAGCAAACAGG
rnacentral:rRNA from 1 species